rnacentral:rRNA from 1 species
AUUGAACGCUGGCGGCAGGCCUAACACAUGCAAGUCGAACGAGCGGCGGACGGGUGAGUAAUGUAUGGGGAACUGCCCGAUAGAGGGGGAUAACUACUGGAAACGGUGGCUAAUACCGCAUACUAUCGGAUGAACCCAUAUGGGAUUAGCUUGUAGGUGGGGUAAAGGCUCACCUAGGCGACGAUCUCUAGCUGGUCUGAGAGGAUGACCAGCCACACUGUGACUGAGAAACGGCCCAGACUCCUACGGGAGGCAGCAGUGGGGAAUAGUGCGCGAUGGGGGCAACCCUGACGCAGCCAUGCCGCGUGUAUGAAGAAGGCCUUCGGGUGGUAAAGUACUUGCAGCGAGGAGGCGUUACUCGCAGAAGAAGCACCGGCUAACUCCGUGCCAGCAGCCGCGGUAAUAC